AGUGAACGCUGGCGGUAGGCCUAACACAUGCAAGUCGAACGGCAGCACAGUAAGAGCUUGCUCUUACGGGUGGCGAGUGGCGGACGGGUGAGGAAUACAUCGGAAUCUACUUUUUCGUGGGGGAUAACGUAGGGAAACUUACGCUAAUACCGCAUACGACCUACGGGUGAAAUCAGGGGAUCUUCGGACCUUGCGCGAUUGAAUGAGCCGAUGUCGGAUUAGCUAGUUUGCGGGGUAAAGGCCCACCAAGGCGACGAUCCGUAGCUGGUCUGAGAGGAUGAUCAGCCACACUGGAACUGAGACACGGUCCAGACUCCUACGGGAGGCAGCAGUGGGGAAUAUUGGACAAUGGGCGCAAGCCUGAUCCAGCCAUACCGCGUGGGUGAAGAAGGCCUUCGGGUUGUAAAGCCCUUUUGUUGGGAAAGAAAAGCAGCAGGUUAAUACCCCGCUGUUCUGACGGUACCCAAAGAAUAAGCACCGGCUAACUUCGUG
rnacentral:rRNA from 1 species